CCUGGGGAGGCUCGCAAGCUAGCGGGGCCCGAUUCACGGGUGGGAGGGGCCGGGGCACCGCCUCCUCUCCUCCAGCCAUAGGCCCCUGCAGCCUUGGGACUGGUGAGAGGGAGACGGGUCCCCUCACAGGAAGCCUCAGCCAGAGGGUCACAUGGUGUGGGGACACAGGUGCACACACCAAGUGGCCAUUGGCGUGCACAUAGGCACCACGGGCACAGGCCAGUGUCUGCUCAAGCUCCCGGGCGCGGUGCCAUGAACUGACUGUACUGCUGGCCUCCCCGCCUUCCCCCGCACCCCACCUCCAUGCCGCCCCUCGCCCUCACUGUGAUUGCCGUGCCCUCAGGACACGGCCUGCCCUGGCUGCCGUGGCCGGGGGGCUGUCGCCCUCUCUGAGGCUUCCCGGAUUUGGCAGGAGCUGGAGGCCGUGGAGGAGCCGGUGCCCGAGGGGCCUGCGCCCCGGGGUCCCUGGGGGCCCCAGGACUGGGUGGGCCCCCCGCCAUGCGGCCCCCCCACCCCAGAUGAGGGCUGCCUCCGGUACUUUGUUCUGGGCACCGUGGCAGCCUUGGUGGCCCUCGUGCUCAACGUGUUCUAUCCUCUGGUGUCCCAGAGUCGCUGGAGAUGAGCUGGCCUCCGGCAGCUGCUGUGAGCCGCCCACCUGCCUGCUCACCAGGCACGCCUGCCUCUGGGGGACCAGCUCUGGGCUCGGGCCUCAGUGUGUGUGUCGGGAGGGAGAGGGGUCUGUCGUUCCUGCAGGGGCAGAGCAAACGAGGGUGGGUAUCCAUCCAGCUGUCGACCAUCCUGCUGCUCUGACCUUGGCCUGGCUUGGCCCCGCCCCCGAGCUUCCUGUACUUAAAGUGUUAAUAAAGCGAGACUGUCCAGGCUGA